ensembl:lncRNA
UGAACAUAGAAAUCAGAUUGCUGCUCUGCUCUGUUGCCACUUGCUCUGCAUACAAAUACAGUCCUUUCUUUCUUGCUUCAGGCUGUGUUUCUACUAUAAGCUAAUGCCGUAUCAAUGAAUAUGCGCUAGUGUUGCGUCCACACAGAGCUGUGCUGGGGAUUGUGUGAUGAGUGGUUGAGUGUUUGUUCAUAGGCUGUCGGUUUCAUGUGUUCUCCUCAAAUACUUAACAACAGAAAUAAGAAUUAUAUAAUUUGAUCAUCAACAUGCUUUCCACCUAGCAGCCAUUUUCACAUCUUCUGAGUUCCAUAUAAAUGGAGUGAGUAAAACUGACACUGGUCAGGUUCCAUCAGAUUUGGGAAGAAAAUGAAGAAAACAUCCUGGGAUUUGUGUUGGAGAGUGAAUGAGUUUUAGUUUUAUCCAGAUAGGAAAGUCAGAGGAGAUUGUAGAAUCAGAAGAAAGCAGAAAAACAAAGCUUAAUUUGUAAUUUGUAAUUUUAUGUUUGACUUAUUACAGUUAGGAAAUAUUGACUUUUGGUUUGGGGAGGGUUUUAGCUCAAUGUUUCUGGUUGUGCACAAGUGUGAAAGGAGUGAAAUCCAGCUAAAAGACAAUAAUUGUUUUUAUUAGAUUGUUCUGAGUCGAAAAAAUCAGAUCUCAUGUCUUCUCUCCUCAACAGCUCACUCCAGAAACACCUAACUCUGACUGUCAGACUCUUGUCGUAUCUAUUGUACGUUCCAGUUGUAACAUGUUGAUUGAAUGUGUAUUUUCCUAUGUUAAGAGAUUUAUUUUUAUAUGAAGUUCAGGUGCCAUAUCAGUGUAUAUGUACUGACUCAUGCUGUCAGAAACCAACGCCUUCUCUUCCUCCUGAUAGAGAUUUAUUUCUAUGUGAAAUGACUGAACAUGUAACUAAUAUUUAGUUGCCAGGCCAGUGUGUCUGCAUAAGUAUUGCUACAUAAAGCUGCUGGAUUUAGCUGUUGUCUGUGCUUGUUCAAAUGAAAUAAAGCCAAAUACUGAACAAUGUA